rnacentral:rRNA from 1 species
GACGAAGGAUGCAAGCGUUAUCCGGAUUCAUUGGGUUUAAAGGGCGCGUAGGUGGUCUUAUAAGUCAGUGGUGAAAUCUCUGGGCUUAACCCAGAAAUUGCCAUUGAUACUGUAGGACUUGAGUAUAGUUGCCGUUGGCGGAAUAUGACAUGUAGUGGUGAAAUACAUAGAGAUGUCAUAGAACACCGAUUGCGAAGGCAGCUAACGAAACUAUAACUGACACUGAGGCUCGAAAGUGCGGGGAUCAAACAGG